AUGAGCUUUUCUUGGCAUUUUGGCACUUUCUCUUAAAAUCUGAGGAAAGGCAGAGAAGUAGCCAACUGGUCAACCAUUAUUUGUAAAAUGAGAUUGUAAUGUCCCUUUGCCUUUGUUCAGAACCAUUGCCCCGGACCUCAAGGCCUUGAGGAUGACACAGAACCAGCAGAGGAGCUUCUUGGUUGGUCCAUUUAGGAAUGAGAGUGCUCAUCAGACAGAAAAUAUAAAAUCUCUUGAGAUUCACCUCAAAAAAUUGUGAAAGCUGAUUCCCAUUUUUUUAGAAGAAUAAGGUUCAGCCUAUGAAGAGCUCCCUGGGGUCAGGAAUGCUGUAUGAAAUGACCAGCCCUCUUUUCAUCCACUGUCACCACUCUAUUCUGCUGCCAACUCCUCAGCCUGGAGCACUCCAACAGUCUCCAGCUGUCCUCCCUGCAGAGGGCUUGCCUCCUCCAAGCCACUCCACACAUGACAGUUCCAGUCAUCUUUCUAAAACCGCUAUCUGGUCCUAUUCUUAAACUCAGCAAGGAUGGACCUCACAUUGUUUUAGAUGACAAGUCAAGCUCUUUCAGUGAAAAAAGUCAAAUACAAGAAGCCACAUAAUGUGUGAAUUUUUUUUUUUUUUACAUGAAAUACCCAGAAAAGGCAAAACGAUGGAGACAGAAAGUAAUGGUUGCCUCUGGUGGAAAUGGUGUAGUGGAGACCAAGAGGGGGCCAGAGGGGGCAAACUCUGGAGGUCAUGGUGCCCAUUCUACUGCAUCCAGGCACCAGUGUGUAUGCAAGAUGAGGACGACCAAGAAGGAAGUGAGAGUAUCAGAUGAGGACUUGGGCAGAUUCCUGCUGCCAUGAUACUGGGAGAGAGAAACCCGAUGCUCUGCAAUGCCUUUGCUCAGACCACCUACACAAAGAUGUAUGGAUAUACCUCAACACACACACACACUGCCACCCUGGCAUUUCCCUGUGCACAUGGUCAUAUGCCACAUGUACCUUCUUUCCUCAGUUGAGGUCAGAGCAAGUAUCCAUUGCCAUUCUAGGAUAGUGGUUGCAACCGUUCACUUGGAUUGGUUACAUACCAUAGGGUCCGGUGUGCCUUCUCCCCAAGCACAGGAGAAGCCCAACUCAGGAGUCAUGGUGGGGAGGGGGUGGCGGUAAGGGGAAUUGUUCAUUUGUGCAAAAU